GACCUCAAAUGGUUUUGGGGAAGAAGUUUUCUAGUAGAACCAAUGAGGGCAGAUCUCAUUUGCAUGAAAGGAGAAAUCAAGAGGCAUUUAAGGGAAGGAAGGGAGAAGAUCUGAAGAAGGUUAUAAUUUCUUUCCCUAAAAGAAUAUUCCUUGCCAAAGUUGACCAUGAGUUGGGCUGUGAUUUUCUUAGCACUCCUCACUUACUGCACAGGCAUCGAUGGUCAGUCCACUUGGACUCAGCCUCCCUCCAGCUCCGUGUCCCUGGGUGAAACCAUCACACUCUCCUGUUUAACAACUCAGAGUUCCUACAGCAUUGGCUGGUAUCAACAGGAACCAGGAAAAGGCCCUCGUUUUGUCCACUGUGAUGGCUGCAACAGGGGAGAAGGGAUCCCAAAUCGGUUCACUGCCACCAGAUCUGGGAGUACAGGAUCUCUGGCCAUCACCAAUGUGGAGGCUGAAGACGAAGGAAUUUAUUAUUGUGGUAGCCGGAACAGUGCAGGCAACGCGUUCCACAGUGAUUAAUUCUUAUGGGGAAGU